rnacentral:rRNA from 1 species
AUUGAACGCUGGCGGCAGGCCUAACACAUGCAAGUCGAACGAGUGGCGGACGGGUGAGUAAUGUCUGGGGAACUGCCUGAUGGAGGGGGAUAACUACUGGAAACGGUAGCUAAUACCGCAUACCAUCAGAUGUGCCCAUAUGGGAUUAGCUAGUAGGUGGGGUAAAGGCUCACCUAGGCGACGAUCCCUAGCUGGUCUGAGAGGAUGAUCAGCCACACUGGGACUGAGACACGGACCAGACUCCUACGGGAGGCAGCAGUGGGGAAUAUUGUACAAUGGGCGCAAGCCUGAUGCAGCCAUGCCGCGUUGAUGAAGAAGGCCCUCGGGUUGUAAAGUACUUUCAGUCGGGAGGCGUUACCCGCAGAAGAAGCACCGGCUAACUCCGUGCCAGCAGCCGCGGUAAUUC